UNUGAAGUUAAAGGCAUUGGCUCAACCAAUGUAUGCUUUGGAGACUGUUAGACUUGAGUGCAGAAGGGGAGAGUGGAAUUNCAUGUGUAGCGGUGAAAUGCGUAGAUAUAUGGAGGAACACCGGUGGCGAAAGCGGCUCUCUGGUCUGUCACUGACGCUGAGGCUCGAAAGCGUGGGUAGCGAACAGGAUUAGAUACCCUGGUAGUNCACGCCGUAAACGCUGAGUGCUAGGUGUUAGGUCCUUCCCGGGACUUAGUGCCGACGCUAACGCAAUAAGCACUCCGCCUGGGGAGUACGACCGCAAGGUUGAAACUCAAAGGAAUUGACGGGGGCCCGCACAAGCGGUGGAGCAUGUGGUUUAAUUCGAAGCAACGCGAAGAACCUUACCAGGUCUUGACAUCCCGAUGCCCGCUCUAGAGAUAGAGUUUUUCUUCGGAACAUCGGAGACAGGUGGUGCAUGGUUGUCGUCAGCUCGUGUCGUGAGAUGUUGGGUUAAGUCCCGCAACGAGCGCAACCCUUAUUGUUAGUUGCCAUCAUUAAGUUGGGCACUCUAGCGAGACUGCCGGUAAUAAACCGGAGGAAGGUGGGGAUGACGUCAAAUCAUCAUGCCCCUUAUGACCUGGGCUACACACGUGCUACAAUGGUUGGUACAACGAGUCGCAAGCCGGUGACGGCAAGCUAAUCUCUGAAAGCCAAUCUCAGUUCGGAUUGUAGGCUGCAACUCGCCUACAUGAAGUCGGAAUCGCUAGUAAUCGCGGAUCAGCACGCCGCGGUGAAUACGUUCCCGGGCCUUGUACACACCGCCCGUCACACCACGAGAGUUUGUAACACCCAAAGUCGGUGAGGUAACCAUUUAUGGGGCCAGCCGCCUAAGGUGGGANGGA
rnacentral:rRNA from 1 species